rnacentral:rRNA from 1 species
UACGAAGGGGGCUAGCGUUGCUCGGAUUGACUGGGCGUAAAGGGCGCGUAGGCGGAUAGUUCAGUCAGGCGUGAAAUUCCUGGGCUCAACCUGGGGGCUGCGUUUGAUACGUGUUGUCUGGAGUUCGGAAGAGGGUCGUGGAAUUCCCAGUGUAGAGGUGAAAUUCGUAGAUAUUGGGAAGAACACCGGUGGCGAAGGCGGCGACCUGGUCCGAUACUGACGCUGAGGCGCGAAAGCGUGGGGAGCAAACAGG